CUGCGAAAUGAUAUUUAAGUGUCGUCCGUUGUCCUUUUCGGUCUCAUUUUUCCGUGCGCCAGAUUUGGGAUGAUUGCAUACGGAAACAUGGAAGCACGCGUCCUUUUUAAGAAAAUGGUUGAUGAAAGCGGAGUUUACACUUUGGAAGCAGGCUAGAUGGACCUUGCAACUAAGACGUUUUGCUGGCAGUUGAGCAUCGGGUAGCAAUAUUCUGAGGAAUGCAGAUGACCUCCCAGGAUGAAUACAGGUUGUCCUGAUGGCUUGUGGAAAGGAGAAGAUAAUUCCUGUCUGCCACCAAUCACCAGCAUUCAGAGGUUCUGUUAGCAGUGGCAUCCUUGCUGGUUCAGAGAUCUGGUGUCUGCCCUAGAGCGGAGGAACCAACUUUGCCAGGAAAGUUGAGCACAUCUUUACUCUGCUGGAAUGAGGUCUGAAGAAAGAAGGAGGAGCUUGUGAAUGGUAAGUAUGGUAUUGAAUAUGGGCAGGUUGGAGUUUUGGUUAGGCAAGGGGUAUCUGGAAGGCAGAGGAUUGUCCAUGUGGGUGCAUUUGGCAUGCUACAUUAACUUAAUUAAAACUUACAGGAAUGCAGAUCUCCAAGAACAAAGAUCUCUAUUUCCUCGAUAAUUUGGAGUUGUGUGUCAUCAUUCUCUUAAUAAAAUUAUUUCUUUGCAA